rnacentral:rRNA from 1 species
UUGGCUUUACYCGAAGMCGGUGCGCUAACCGCAAGGAGGCAGCCGKCCACGGUAAGGUCAGCGACUGGGGUGAAGUCGUAACAAGGUAGCCGUAGGUGAACCUGCAGAAGGAUCA